rnacentral:rRNA from 1 species
AACGUAGGUGGCGAGCGUUAUCCGGAUUUACUGGGCGUAAAGCGUGUGCAGGCGGGGAGACAAGUGGUGUAUGAAAUUUCCCGGCUUAACCGGGAAGGGUUAUGCCAGACUGUCUUUCUGGAGUGCGAGAGAGGGGCGUGGAAUUCCGGGUGUAGUGGUGAAAUUCGUAGAUAUCAGGAGGAACACCAGUGGCGAAGGCGGCUUUCUGGACGGUAACUGACGCUGAGACGCGAAAGCGUGGGGAGCAAACAGG